CCCUUAGAUGUUCUGGGCUGCACGCGUGCUACAAUGGCGCUUGCAACAAGUCUUGCCAACCCGAUAGGGUGAGCGGAUCUUUGAAGAGGCGUCGUGAUCGGGACAGUUGAUUGCAAUUAUUCGACUCGAACGAGGAAUUCCUUGUAAUCGCGAUUCAUCAUAUCGCGCUGAAUACGUCCUGCCCUUUGUACACACCGCCCGUCGCUCCUACCGAUUGAGCGAUCCGGUGAAUGUUUUGGACUGGCGUCAGAAGCGGUUCGCUCCUGACACUACGAAAUUUUGUAAACCUUAUCGCUUAGAGGAAGGAAAAGUCGUAACA
rnacentral:rRNA from 1 species